rnacentral:rRNA from 1 species
CCUACGGGGUGCUGCAGUGGGGAAUAUUGGACAAUGGGCGAAAGCCUGAUCCAGCCACGCCGCGUGUGUGAAGAAGGCCUUCGGGUUGUAAAGCACUUUCAGUGGGGAAGAAAGCCUUGGGGCUAAUACCCUCGAGGAAGGACAUCACCCACAGAAGAAGCACCGGCUAACUCCGUGCCAGCAGCCGCGGUAAUACGGAGGGUGCGAGCGUUAAUCGGAAUUACUGGGCGUAAAGCGCGCGUAGGCGGUCUGAUAAGCCGGUUGUGAAAGCCCCGGGCUCAACCUGGGAACGGCAUCCGGAACUGUCAGGCUAGAGUGCAGGAGAGGAAGGUAGAAUUCCCGGUGUAGCGGUGAAAUGCGUAGAGAUCGGGAGGAAUACCAGUGGCGAAGGCGGCCUUCUGGACUGACACUGACGCUGAGGUGCGAAAGCGUGGGUAGCAAACAGGAUUAGAUACCCUAGUAGUC